AUUGAACGCUGGCGGCAUGCUUUACACAUGCAAGUCGAACGGUAACAGGCCUUCGGGUGCUGACGAGUGGCGAACGGGUGAGUAAUGCAUCGGAACGUACCCAGAGGUGGGGGAUAACGCAGCGAAAGCUGUGCUAAUACCGCAUGUGAUCUGAGGAUGAAAGCGGGGGACCGAGCAGCAAUGUUUGGCCUCGCGCCUUUGGAGCGGCCGAUGUCGGAUUAGCUAGUUGGUGGGGUAAAGGCCUACCAAGGCGACGAUCCGUAGCUGGUCUGAGAGGACGACCAGCCACACUGGGACUGAGACACGGCCCAGACUCCUACGGGAGGCAGCAGUGGGGAAUUUUGGACAAUGGGCGCAAGCCUGAUCCAGCAAUGCCGCGUGCGGGAAGAAGGCCUUCGGGUUGUAAAGCGCUUUUGGCAGGAACGAAACGGUGUCCGCUAAUACCGGGCGCUAAUGACGGUACCUGCAGAAUAAGCACCGGCUAACUACGUG
rnacentral:rRNA from 1 species